rnacentral:rRNA from 1 species
AUCCAUGAUAAGUGAGAACUCCUGGAAUGGAUUCUCGCUGAAAGGACGUUUAGACCAUGCUUCUAGGCGUCGCCCAAGGAGGGGGCCGCGACCGAUCAGGUUGUUGGUGAGGUAACGGCUCACCAAGCCUUUAACCGGUACGGGCCGUGAGAGCGGAAGCCCGGAGAUGGGCACUGAGACAAGGGCCCAGGCCCUACGGGGCGCAGCAGUCGCGAAAACUCCGCAAUACACGAAAGUGUGACGGGGUCAUCCCGAGUGCCAUCCGCUGAGGAUGGCUUUUCCCCAGUGUAUAAAGCUGGGGGAAUAAGGAGAGGGCAAGCCUGGUGUCAGCCGCCGCGGUAAUACCAGCUCUCCGAGUGGUGGGGAUGCUUAUUGGGCCUAAAGCAUUCGUAGCCUGCUUGGCAAGUCCUCCGUUAAAUCCAACGAUUCAAUCGUUGGGCUGCGGGGGAUACUGUCCGGCUAGGGGGCGGGAGAGGCCGACGGUAUCCUCGGGGUAGGGGUGAAAUCCUAUAAUCCCGGGAGGACCACCAGUGGCGAAGGCUGUCGGCUAGAACGCGCCCGACGGUGAGGGAUGAAAGCUGGGGGAGCGAACCGGAUUAGAUACCCGGGUAGUCCCAGCUG